ensembl:lncRNA CTBP1-DT CTBP1 divergent transcript
UAGUCCAUGGAUUUACCUGGGACUUGUAGGUCGGCUUUAAACUGUCUUCGGCUUGAAGGAGUCUCGCUGUGUCACCCAGGCUGGAGUGCAGUGGUGUGAUCUUGGCUUACUGCAACCUCUGCCUCCCAGGUUCAAGUGAUUCUCCUGCCUCAGCCUCCCAAGUACCUGGGACUACAGAUCUUUAGAUAAGCACUCUUUCAACCAAAUGCCAAUCAGAAAAUCUUUGAAUCCACCUGUGAGCUGGAAGCCCCGCUGUGCUUUGUGUUGUCCUGCCUUUUCGGACCAAUGUAAAUCUCACAUGUACUGAUUGAUGCCUACAUCUCCUUAAAACGUAUAAAAUCAAGCUGUAACCCAACCACCUUGGGCAUGUGUUCUGAGGACCUCUUGAGGCUGUGUCACUGGUCAUGAUCCUUAACCUUGGCAACAUAAACUUCUAAACUGAUUGAGAUCUGUCUCAGACACUUUUUGGUUUACAAAAGGACUAAUUCAAAUACAGUUUUAUCUUCCAACAUAAGAAAA